CCUACGGGCGUCAGCAGUGGGGAAUAUUGGGCAAUGGGCGCAAGCCUGACCCAGCAAUGCCGCGUGAAGGAAGAAGGCUUUCGGGUUGUAAACUUCUUUGACAGGGGAAGAGCUGAAGACGGUACCCUGAAAACAAGCCACGGCUAACUACGUGCCAGCAGCCGCGGUAAUACGUAGGUGGCAAGCGUUGUCCGGAUUUACUGGGUGUAAAGGGCGUGUAGCCGGGAAGGCAAGUCAGAUGUGAAAUCUGGAGGCUCAACCUCCAAAUUGCAUUUGAAACUGUUUUUCUUGAGUACUGGAGAGGCAGACGGAAUUCCUUGUGUAGCGGUGAAAUGCGUAGAUAUAAGGAGGAACACCAGUGGCGAAGGCGGUCUGCUGGACAGCAACUGACGGUGAGGCGCGAAAGCGUGGGGAGCAAACAGGAUUAGAUACCCCAGUAGUC
rnacentral:rRNA from 1 species